AGUCUUGUGGUGUACCGCACAUGAAAUUGCAAAUUUUAGAGAGCGUAUAGAUCGCGCCGGGGCUU
rnacentral:tRNA from 1 species